UACGAAGGGUGCAAGCGUUACUCGGAAUUACUGGGCGUAAAGCGCACGUAGGCGGAUCAGUCAGUCAGGGGUGAAAUCCCGGGGCUCAACCCCGGAACUGCCUUUGAAACUGCUGGUCUGGAGGUCGAGAGAGGCGAGUGGAAUUCCGAGUGUAGAGGUGAAAUUCGUAGAUAUUCGGAGGAACACCAGUGGCGAAGGCGGCUCGCUGGCUCGAUACUGACGCUGAGGUGCGAAAGCGUGGGGAGCAAACAGG
rnacentral:rRNA from 1 species